rnacentral:rRNA from 1 species
AUUGAACGCUGGCGGCAUGCUUUACACAUGCAAGUCGAACGGUAACAGGUUAAGCUGACGAGUGGCGAACGGGUGAGUAAUGCAUCGGAACGUGCCCGAUCGUGGGGGAUAACGCAGCGAAAGCUGCGCUAAUACCGCAUACGAUCUGAGGAUGAAAGCGGGGGACCGUAAGGCCUCGCGCGAUCGGAGCGGCCGAUGUCAGAUUAGGUAGUUGGUGGGGUAAAGGCCCACCAAGCCGACAAUCUGUAGCUGGUCUGAGAGGACGACCAGCCACACUGGGACUGAGACACGGCCCAGACUCCUACGGGAGGCAGCAGUGGGGAAUUUUGGACAAUGGGCGAAAGCCUGAUCCAGCAAUGCCGCGUGCAGGAAGAAGGCCUUCGGGUUGUAAACUGCUUUUGUACGGAGCGAAAAGGUCCUUUCUAAUACAAGGGGCUCAUGACGGUACCGUAAGAAUAAGCACCGGCUAACUACGUGCCAGCCGCCGCCGUAAUAC